AGGAAAAUUGCUGGGUCGUAUGGUAAACAUAUGUUUAGUUUUAAAAGAAUGUGCCAAACUGUUUUCCAGACUAACUGCACCAUUUUAAAUUCCCAUCAGCAAU
rnacentral:pre_miRNA from 1 species